rnacentral:pre_miRNA from 1 species
UUCAAGUAAUCCAGGAUAGGCUGUUGCCAUCCGUGAGGCCUAUUCUUGAUUACUUGUUUC